rnacentral:rRNA from 1 species
GAUGAACGCUGGCGGCGUGCCUAAUACAUGCAAGUCGAGCGAACAGACGAGUAGCUUGCUCCUCUGACGUUAGCGGCGGACGUGUGAGUAACACGUGUAUAACCUACCUAUAAUACUGGGAUAACUUCGGGACACCGGAGCUAAUACCGGAUAAUAUAUUUAACCGCAUGGUUCAAUAAUGAAAGACGGUUUUGCUGUCACUUAUAGAUGUAUCCGCGCCGCAUUAGCUAGUUGGUAAGGUAACGGCUUACCAAGGGAACGAUGCGUAGCCGACCUGAGAGGGUGAUAGGCGACACUGGAACUGAGACACGGUCCAGACUACUACGGGAGGCAGCAGUAGGGAAUCUUCCGCAAUGGGCGAAAGCCUGACGGAGCAACGCCGAGUGAGUGAUGAAGGUCUUCGGAUCGUAAAACUCUGUUAUUAGGGAAGAACAAAUGUGUAAGUAACUAUGCACGUCUUGACGGUACCUAAUCAGAAAGCCACGGCUAACUACGUG